AUUGAACGCUGGCGGAAUGCUUUACACAUGCAAGUCGAACGGCCGCAAGGUGCUGACGAGUGGCGAACGGGUGAGUAAUGCAUCGGAACGUGCCCAGUCGUGGGGGAUAACGCAGCGAAAGCUGCGCUAAUACCGCAUACGAUCUAUGGAUGAAAGCGGGGGACCGUAAGGCCUCGCGCGAUUGGAGCGGCCGAUGUCAGAUUAGGUAGUUGGUGGGGUAAAGGCUCACCAAGCCAACGAUCUGUAGCUGGUCUGAGAGGACGACCAGCCACACUGGGACUGAGACACGGCCCAGACUCCUACGGGAGGCAGCAGUGGGGAAUUUUGGACAAUGGGCGCAAGCCUGAUCCAGCAAUGCCGCGUGCAGGAAGAAGGCCUUCGGGUUGUAAACUGCCUUUGUACGGAACGAAACGGCUCUGGUUAAUACCUGGGGCUAAUGACGGUACCGUAAGAAUAAGCACCGGCUAACUACGUGCCAGCCGCCGCCGUAA
rnacentral:rRNA from 1 species